rnacentral:lncRNA from 1 species
AGCAAAGAAGGGUGGCAAGAUGAAGGGCAGUUCUGCCAUCAACGAGAUGGUGACCCAAGAAUACACCAUCAAUGUUCACAUGCACAUCCAUGGAGUAGGCUUCAAGUAGUGUGCUCUUAGGGCACUCAAAGACCAUGAAGGAAUGGGGAACUCCAGAUGUGCCCAUUGACACCAGGCUCAAUAAAGCCUUCUGGGCUGAGGGAAUAAGGAAUGUUCCUUAUUGCAUCCGAGUACAUUUGUCCAGAAAACAUAAUGGGGAUGAGGAGUCACCAAACAAGCUCUACACAUUGGUAACUUACUCUUACGUGCCUGUUCCACAUUCAAAGAUCUACAGUCAAUGUGGGUGAGAACU